GGGGGGGGGGGGGGGGGGGCUGGGCGCGUGCGGGGCGGGCGGCAGCGCGGAGGUCGGGCGGGCGGCGAGGGGCGGACGGGUGAGUGAUGGCUCGGGACGUGCGCAGUAGCGGGGGAUAACUACGCGCAAGCGUAGCUAAUACAGCGUGCGCCCUACGGGGGCAAGCAGGGGAUCGUAAGACCUUGCACUAUGUGAGCUGACGAUAUCGGAUUAGCUAGGUGGUGUGGUUACGGCUCACCUAGGCGCCGAUCCGUAGCUGGUUUGAGAGGACGACAAGCCGCACUGGGGCUGAGACACGGCCCAGGCUCCUGCGGGAGGCAGCAGUGGGGAAUUUUGGACAAUGGGGGCAACCCUGAUCCAGCCAUCCCGCGUGUGCAAUGAAGGCCUUCGGGUUGUAAAGCACUUUUGGCAGGAAAGAAACGUCGCGGGCUAAUACCCCGCGGAACUGACGGUACCUGCAGAAUAAGCACCGGCUAACUACGUG
rnacentral:rRNA from 1 species